rnacentral:rRNA from 1 species
GCGGCGGACGGGUGAGUAAUACUUAGGAAUCUGCCUAUUAAUGGGGGACAACAUCUCGAAAGGGAUGCUAAUAUCGCAUACGCCCUACGGGGGAAAGCAGGGGAUCACUUGUGACCUUGCGUUAAUAGAUGAGCCUAAGUCGGAUUAGCUAGUUGGUGGGGUAAAGGCCUACCAAGGCGACGAUCUGUAGCGGGUCUGAGAGGAUGAUCCGCCACACUGGGACUGAGACACGGCCCAGACUCCUACGGGAGGCAGCAGUGGGGAAUAUUGCACAAUGGGCGCAAGCCUGAUGCAGCGACGCCGCGUGAGGGAUGACGGCCUUCGGGUUGUAAAGCACUUUAGGUUGGGAAGAGAAAAGUUCUUCUAAUACGAGAACUCUUGACGGUACCAAAAGAAUAAGCACCGGCUAACUCUGUGCCAGCAGCCGCGGUAAUACAGAGGGUGCAAGCGUUGUUCGGAAUUACUGGGCGUAAAGCG